AUGUACGUGGGCAACCUGUCAUGGCGACUCGAUGACUCCAGGUUGGCACAACUAUUCAGCGAGCACGGCACCGUGGUCUUCGCUAAGAUCAUGCGUGACUUCCAAACCGGGCGCUCAAAGGGAUUCAGCUUUGUAGCAAUGGCAUCACAGGAGGAACGCGAGGCGGCCAUCGCGGCCCUCAACGAGCAGAUCUUGGAGGGGCUUGCCCUGCGAGUGAGUGCCGCAGAGGAGCUAGACGUGACUGUAAGCAAGGAGGUUCCACGAGACGCCCGGGUGGAAAGCCCUCCUCCUCGUCAUGUUGUUGGGCCUUCAUUUCGGUUGCACGUGAACAACCUGUCGUCGAAGUGGAUGACUCUAGGCUGGCACAAAUGUUCAGCCAGCACGGCAAAGCGGCCUAGCUAA
rnacentral:rRNA from 1 species